UACGUAGGGUGCAAGCGUUAAUCGGAAUUACUGGGCGUAAAGCGUGCGCAGGCGGUUAUGUAAGACAGUUGUGAAAUCCCCGGGCUCAACCUGGGAACUGCAUCUGUGACUGCAUAGCUAGAGUACGGUAGAGGGGGAUGGAAUUCCGCGUGUAGCAGUGAAAUGCGUAGAUAUCAGGAGGAACACCGGUGGCGAAGGCGGAUCUCUGGACCAGUUCUGACACUGAUGAGCGAAAGCCAGGGGAGCAAACAGG
rnacentral:rRNA from 1 species